rnacentral:rRNA from 1 species
GGGAGUGCUCGCAAGAGAACCGGAACACAGGUGCUGCAUGGCUGUCGUCAGCUCGUGUCGUGAGAUGUUGGGUUAAGUCCCCGCAACGAGCGCAACCCUUGUCAUUAGUUGCCAUCAUUUGGUUGGGCACUCUAAUGAGACUGCCGGUGACAAACCGGAGGAAGGUGGGGAUGACGUCAAGUCCUCAUGGCCCUUAUGGGUAGGGCUUCACACGUCAUACAAUGGUCGGUACAGAGGGUUGCCAACCCGCGAGGGGGAGCUAAUCCCACAAAGCCGAUCGUAGUCCGGAUCGCAGUCUGCAACUCGACUGCGUGAAGUCGGAAUCGCUAGUAAUCGUGGAUCAGCAUGUCACGGUGAAUACGUUCCCGGGUCUU